UACGGGGGGGGCAAGCGUUGUUCGGAAUUACUGGGCGUAAAGGGCUCGUAGGUGGCCAACUAAGUCAGACGUGAAAUCCCUCGGCUUAACCGGGGAACUGCGUCUGAUACUGGAUGGCUUGAGUUUGGGAGAGGGACGCGGAAUUCCAGGUGUAGCGGUGAAAUGCGUAGAUAUCUGGAGGAACACCGAUGGCGAAGGCAGCCCCCUGGGCUGACACUGACGCUCAGGCACGAAAGCGUGGGGAGCAAACGGG
rnacentral:rRNA from 1 species